UACGAAGGGGGCUAGCGUUGCUCGGAAUUACUGGGCGUAAAGCGCACGUAGGCGGAUUGUUAAGUCGGGGGUGAAAUCCUGGAGCUCAACUCCAGAACUGCCUUCGAUACUGGCGAUCUCGAGUUCGGGAGAGGUGAGUGGAACUGCGAGUGUAGAGGUGAAAUUCGUAGAUAUUCGGAAGAACACCAGUGGCGAAGGCGGCUCACUGGCCCGGUACUGACGCUGAGGUGCGAAAGCGUGGGGAGCAACAGGG
rnacentral:rRNA from 1 species